AUUGAACGCUGGCGGCAGGCCUAACACAUGCAAGUCGAGCGGAUGAAGGGAGCUUGCUCCUGGAUUCAGCUGCGGACGGGUGAGUAAUGCCUAGGAAUCUGCCUGGUAGUGGGGGAUAACGUCCGGAAACGGGCGCUAAUACCGCAUACGUCCUGAGGGAGAAAGUGGGGGAUCUUCGGACCUCACGCUAUCAGAUGAGCCUAGGUCGGAUUAGCUAGUUGGUGGGGUAAAGGCCUACCAAGGCGACGAUCCGUAACUGGUCUGAGAGGAUGAUCAGUCACACUGGAACUGAGACACGGUCCAGACUCCUACGGGAGGCAGCAGUGGGGAAUAUUGGACAAUGGGCGAAAGCCUGAUCCAGCCAUGCCGCGUGUGUGAAGAAGGUCUUCGGAUUGUAAAGCACUUUAAGUUGGGAGGAAGGGCAGUAAGUUAAUACCUUGCUGUUUUGACGUUACCAACAGAAUAAGCACCGGCUAACUUCGUG
rnacentral:rRNA from 1 species